rnacentral:rRNA from 1 species
UACGGGGGGGGCAAGCGUUGUUCGGAAUUACUGGGCGUAAAGGGCUCGUAGGUGGCCAACUAAGUCAGACGUGAAAUCCCUCGGCUUAACCGGGGAACUGCGUCUGAUACUGGAUGGCUUGAGUUUGGGAGAGGGACGCGGAAUUCCAGGUGUAGCGGUGAAAUGCGUAGAUAUCUGGAGGAACAUCAGUGGCGAAGGCGGCUUCCUGGACCAAUACUGACGAUCAGGUGCGAAAGCGUGGGGAGCAAACAGG